rnacentral:rRNA from 1 species
GACGAACGCUGGCGGCGUGCUUAACACAUGCAAGUCGAACGGAAAGGCCCUGCUUUUGUGGGGUGCUCGAGUGGCGAACGGGUGAGUAACACGUGAGUAACCUGCCCUUGACUUUGGGAUAACUUCAGGAAACUGGGGCUAAUACCGGAUAGGAGCUCCUGCUGCAUGGUGGGGGUUGGAAAGUUUCGGCGGUUGGGGAUGGACUCGCGGCUUAUCAGCUUGUUGGUGGGGUAGUGGCUUACCAAGGGUUUGACGGGUAGCCGGCCUGGGAGGGUGACCGGCCAAAUUGGGACUGAGAUACGGCCCGGACUCCUACGGGAGGCAGAAGGGGGGAAUAUUGCACAAUGGGCGGAAGCCUGAGGCAGCAACGCCGGGUGGGGGAUGACGGCCUUCGGGUUGUAAACCGCUUUCGCCUGGGACGAAGCGUGAGUGACGGUAAUUGGUAAAGAAGCACCGGCUAACUACGUG